GGGCUUCCUCCCCAGCACCCUCUUCUUCCUCUGCUCUCUGAAACGAGGGCUGCUGGCACCCUGGCUGUCCCUGGGAGGCCCCAGGCGCUGGGCUGAACGUGUUAACUUUGGCUUUUUACCACCACCCCUUUCCCCCCGCCAUCACUCCAGAUGCCUGCGCAUCUUGUUUACCCAGCAAAAUGUGCCAGUGGAGAAAAUCAACGGGGGCGCUGUCACGUGGGCCAUGGGCCGUGUCAGGACCAUGGGGAAUUUGGGAGAAGGCACAUGGCCAGCACUCUGCGGUGCCUGUACAGCCUGGCAUCAGGGGAUGUCUUUCCAGGAUUACAGACAUUGGGUGUCUAUCCUUGGGCUCUUGAUAAGAUCAGACUGGCAAUGCGGUGCUGCCGGCAAAAUGCCUUCACCCAGCGCCCAUGUGGCUGUGCCAGGAGAAGGAGCGGGGACGUGCUCAGCACCACUGGCCUCGCCGCGACCAGCGCGUGAUGGAGGUGGCUGAGACCGUGGCAGCUGCUGGCCAGGCUUGGCUCUGGCCGCUGGCCUCCUGCCUCCAGAAAGGGAGCGAUGGCUCCUCCAGCCAUGGCUUCUAAUGCAAAUA